UACAGGGUUGACCCACUGUGCCUGGCCCCCCUCAAUACUGUUAUCUAAACAUAGAAAUAACUGAAAUAUAUUUUAGUCAUUAAAAAACCCUUUGGGCUUACACUUUGAGUUACAUUGAACUUCUUUUUACAUUGUGGACAGGAAAGAUAGUAAGCAAAAGUUUCCUCAAUUUUUAAAAGGACGACGGUAGAAAGAACACAUUGCAAUCUAUAGAUGAUCCAUGGCAGCUAUCUUCAAAUGCUGAAAGCUUGCUCAUGUAGCAGGAGUCUGUGCUGUUUUAGAAAACGAAAAAGUAUUAAAACAGUGAUGGUGGGGAUGUAAUUUUUUUACAUUUAACUCCCAAGGAAUGUAUUAAUAUAAAUAAGUUGUACAGAAUUAUGCUAAGGAAUAGCUUGGUUAAAGCAACUAAUAUUUUGAAAGAUGCCCUUUAAGAUUAUUUAUGGUAAUUUGCUUUUCAAAUCUAGAAGCUUUAGACUUUUUAAGAAUAUAGUUCAAAGUAGGUGAUGCUGGAACUUGUUAACAUUUCUUUUUCCUACUAGAGUCAGCUGCUUCAAUUCACUCAGACUUACCUGCAUAAUUAUAACCUUGGACAAGGAAUAAAGGUUUUUACAGGAUUGGCUUUUAUCUUUUUUAAAAAAUUGGACAAACGGCUUGUGAAACUAAACUCCUGGAUACUUAACCUGCUUGAAAAAUUAUCUUACAAUGGAACCUUAGAAGCAAAGCCCAGGAGGACAUCUAUCAUGGAUAUCCCUCUUCUGGCACCCUAAUGGCACCUACUGAACUUAAUUUAAAAAAUCCAUUUCAAGAAAGUAACUUUGGUGGUGAUGAAAAACUUCUUGGGAAGAAUGGAAGAUCUAGAUGUAUUGCAAUUCAGCACAACAUAAUAAUCUGAUUGGAGAAAGGAAGAAAACAGCAGCAGCAGAGGCAGAGCUGGAAUGUAGCAACAGCUGGAAUCCAGAAUGACAUUCUAAGGGGGAGGGUUGUUAAGGCACAAAUGAUUUUUCUGGGAUUUAAGACCUUACUUAGGUAAGUUAUUUAACUGUGUCUUUCAAUUUACAGUUAGGUGAAAUAUGAUUGAUAGUAAUGCCUCCCUGAUAGGUUUAGCUACCUUUUAAAUUUGAAUGUCUGUUACAUAGUGAAUACUGUCAACUAUUAAAAGCAGUAAAGAAACAGGAUAUAGAGCGAGACUGGAUAGCACUUGUUGGGAUAAUUAUUUCCCAGUACCACAUGACUCUGACAUCUACUGGGUGUGGUCACACCUCUCCCAUGAUUCCCCCUUAAAGACUCUGGGUAAUCUGGGAAAUGGCCUGAUUUUUAUCUUGCUCAUAUGUGUGCUGUAAAUGGAUUUUUAAUACACUUAGGAUACUCAGCUGAAAAGGAACUCUAAAUUGAAUUUCAAGUUAGAAAGGAUCUAAGAGGGCAGGUGUGUGUUAUCAACAUUGUAACGUAGUAGGCUUUCUGAUGAAGAUAGUUUUUUUUUGAGAUGGAGUUUCGCCCUUGUUGCCCAGGCUGGAGUGCAAUGGUGUGAUCUCAGCUCACCGCUGCCUCACCCUCCCUAGUAGCUGUGUUUACAGGCAUGUGCCACCAUGCCUGGCUAAUUUUGUAUUUUUAGUAGAGACGGGGUUUCUCCAUGUUGGUCAGGCUGGUCUUGAACUCCUGACCUCAGGUGAUCCACCUGUCUCGGCCUCCCAGAGUGCUGGGAUUACAGGUGUGAGCCACCGCGCCUGGCCUGAAGAUACAUUUUUAUGCUAGGAAAAUGGUUUCAUUCUCUAGGAAAAAUACUUAAUAUCUUAUUUUAUUUGUUUCAUGAGUAGCUGACCAAUUUAUUGUUACCUCUUCUGCUGCUGUUAGCCAUGUUCCAGCCCAGGAAAGAAUAAAGCUGUGUCUGUCUGGA